rnacentral:lncRNA from 9 species
GCAGCCCCUCAGGCCGGGUAGGGGAGGGCGGGCGCUGCGAGUGGGGGGCGGCUGGAGAGGAGCAGUGGGAGCUGGAGCCCCUGGCGCUGGACUUGUCACCUAAAGCAGCCAAGGCAGGCUCCAGCAGGGACCAGACCCAGGCUGCGGCGCUGGCCAGAGAAACACCAACACAAGGUCGCGCUCAGGCCUCGGAACCCCUCGAACCCCUUGCCAGGAUCCUCCCAGUUCAGCCGGGUCAGGGCUGAAGCCUGGGGGAUACCGUGACCCCCACCAAGCAGCCCCAGCUGCAGGUACAGCCCCUUCCCGACCCCCACUCCAGCCUGGAGGCUGCCAGGGACCCAAGGUGAGGAAGGCCCAGCCUCAGGGGUGGGGGGUGGGGGCUACCCCAGCUCCCUCAGGCCCUCAGGCCCCCACCACGCUCCCUCCCUCAGCUCCAGAGGUGAUUAACGUCUCGGAACCCUGGCCCCUGCUGGGCCAGGACACCCUACACACUCUGGGACUGCACACUUGCCAGGGCCUGGGGAAGGAGGGCAGGUGCCUUGGGGGAGAGGGCCCGGCCAUACUGUCUCCUCUCUGCCAUUCCCCGGGGCCCUGGGGGGUGGGAGGCCUACAGCUCAGGGCCUGCCAGGGAGGGGUAGGCCAGAGAUCAAAGAUCACCAGGGAGACAGCUGAGGGGCCCACACACCCAGGACCCUCUCUCAGAACAGCCCCAGCAGCUGGCGAAGGGGGAAAGAGGAAGGCUGUCCCCAAGGCCAUGGCCCUGGCCGAGGCUGGGUCCUGGCCUGGCCAGGCCCUGCCCCCGCGUGGUGAGACUUAGACCUGACGGAGAGCGGUCCAGCCUCAGGAAGUCCUGAGGAGCAAAAGCACGCAGGGGGACCACAGACCAGGUCCUCCUGGGCGCCCAGCCCUGAUCCCGCCCCGCCCCCAGUAUCUGGAGAUUUGGGGAAACAGGCUGGGCACAGGGAGAAUCAGCGGCUGUUUUCGUUUCAAUGGUCCCGAAAGGUUUAAAGGCACUUUUCAAGCUGAGCAAAGCUUUGGGGAUUCAUGUGGCUGGUAGAGGCCAAGCUGGGGAACCCCGCACUGCUAGGGGGUCAGGUUGCCCCGUCCCUGUUGCCCUCCUCGGGGCUCCUGGCUCUGUUGGGUCGGCUGAGGCUGCGGAGGCAUGGGCUGACUGCACAGAGGUGCUCUACGUGCUGUGGGGUUUGGGAACAGACUUGUCGCUGGGGUUUGGGGGACAGACAGACAGAUGGGAAAGGGGCCUUUCACCACCACUUCAGCUCGGCGCUCAGCCCACUCCCAGCCUUUCCCGCAAGCAGGGAGCUGCAGCAGGAGACCCAAGAUCAGAUGAACUCCUUUGGGAAAGGGCUGGGCUCAGGAGAGAGAGAGAGUGAGGUUGGUCCUUCAGGGGCGGGGGGAGCUGUAAUAAGCCUCCUUGAGGGCAGUGGGUUGGUCCCCAGCCCCGAGGCUCUCCAAAGAACCACACUGAGACAUCAUGCACUCCCCGUGUCCACACUGCAGGGCUAGAGGGUUCCUUUGCUCGCCAGGAAGGGGUGCAGGGUCAGAGCCCUCCAGCUGCCCUGCCCAGGCCCUCGGAUCCAGGGAGCCCCUCUGUGAACUUCCAGGCGGGGAGGUGGGAGCAGGCAGCCGAUGGGCCAGAUGCACUGACCCACUGGGCGGCUUCCCGCUGCCCUUCUCCCCCGCUGCGCCCCCUUGGCCACCGGCUUCGGGCACUCAGUCUCCCACUCUGCAGGAUUCCUGGUCGAAUUUUGUUCACCCUCCAGUUCCUGCUCAGAAAGGAGUAGUUAAGAGAAUAAAAGCUCCCUUAGUUUACCCCAGGGCUCCUCUCUGAGGCCCGGAGAGGCUCCGAACAGGUCCAGACCACCAGUCCUUGUCCCACCCCCAACUUGGGGCCUGAGUCAGGUGGGGACAAGGGUCUCCCUCUGCGGGCAGAUUCUGCCCUGAACUAGGUGGAUGUGGCUCCCAGCAGAGCAACAGAAGGAGACCCCGAGGGAUGCUUGGGGACAAGCCGGCUUGGUUCCUACCGCACAGAGAGGGACGGGGAGAUGGGAGAUGGUCCCGGCGCCCAGCCUUGGAGCCAGCGGGGACUACGGACGGCGGAGGUCUCCAGCCUGGGGUGAACAGCAGGGUUCGGUCUCGCAAGGGGUGGGGGCGCAGACAACCCGCAGAGCCCUCUCCUCCCCAGCCUGGCCUCCGCUCUGGCCCACAGCCGCUGCUGCCCCCCACACCAUGCCGCAGCUCCGGUCACAGGAGCCUCCCUGGACUCUGGGGUUAAUAUUUCAGGCCCCCUUUUGCCCCUUGUCCUACCCCAGGCCCAGCGACACUCACAGUGACCCAGAUACCUUUGGAGGACAAAAGGACACAGGCCCUCAUUUCUGGCCCAGUGAGUUCAGAGGCCACGUGGCAAGGCUGCUCCCUACGCAGAUCAGAGUGAAGGCCUUCCCACACCCACACCCCUGCCCAGGUUCUCGAGUGGCUUCAAGAGAGGCUUGGGGACGCUCCCGACCAUGACUCCCCAGGAAUGCGAACCGUGUAGCCGAUGUCGCACAAACCCCAGAUGUAGGAAAGCCUCCUUCCUUCUGGGAGGGAGGAAGCACUCUCCUGAGCGGGCAGCCUCCUGGGAGGGCCCGUGACUUCUCUGCCCGAAUCUGCAUCCUGGCUGGGCCGUCUCCCAGGAGCACAGAGAUUGAGGCGGUGGGCUUGAACUCCCUCCUUUGAGCCAGGUGAGAGUUGGCCCCCAUAUCCCAGCGGAACCAGCACCCCGGGAAGCGCAGGAAGGUCCAGCAAGCCCUUCCCCGGCCUCGGGAACAGUGGGCCGGGCUCAGCGGCUGAGUCGCGGCUACAGCAGCCACGCGCGGGAUCCAGCCGCGGAGAGGAGCAAACGGAAUCGGUUUCCCACGCUGUCCCUCUCCCUCCCCGAACCUUUUAAAACCUGCUCACGAAGUCCGGCGCCCAGUUUUCGCCCCUCUUGAGCCUGGCGUUCACGCGGUGCCCCAGUCACCAGCGCCGCCCGAGGAGGGGACCCUCGGCCGCCCGCACUCCCUGCCACCCGCCCGCGCACGCAGGGAGCAACUUGGUUCCCCUGAGCAUCCUGGCCCCGCGGCCUGGGCAGGGCUCCGCGCGGCAGAGGUGGCACCGUGGUCGCUCCGGAACGCCGCCCGCGUGGAUGCGACGGCCUCCUCCCGCUCCCGGUUCCGGCUCCCGGCCGGCGGGUCCCCGACAACAACGAACACGGCGAGCCGCCUGGCCUCCCCGGCUUCCGAGUCCCGGGGAUCUCUGGGUGGGAGCUCGCCCUCCCGGUCCCCAGGGGCGCCAGAGCGGAGCACACCGCCAGGCCGCCCGGGAACCGAGCGGACUCCCCACACCGGCUCGCCUUCGGAUCCACACCUCGUCUGCCGCGUCCUCGGGACUUGGUUCCGGUCCCCACCCCGCCGACCCCUUUAGUUCGGAAACCAAAUUUCGUUUUUGGUCCCCGGCUCCUCCGCAGGGGUCGCCGUGGAGAAGCUGCCACGGAGGGUUUCCGCUCCAAGCCUCAACUUGCCCAUCUGUGAACAGGGCCAGGUACUGCUUGCUGAGCCCCGCUCAGGGUUGAUGGGGGCUUGGCUGGGAGAGGGGACGAUGGGGAAUGCCCGACAGAGCCAGCGCUGCCCACCUUUCGGGCCCCAUCGUGCAGGCGGGGUUCAGAGGUGGUGCCCAGACCACAAGGGGCCCAAAGCUGCUCCUGAGCAAUCACCACCCUCCCUGCCCUUCCCCCACCCAACCCUGGAGGGAGCGUGAGGGAGGAGGUGCGAGGGUCCAGAUUGGCGCCCAGGGCCUCUCCGCCCCAGGACGGGCUUUUGCUGGCCUCAGGCUCUUGUCUCAGGUUCCACUGGGGCACUGAGGAGGGAGGUUUAACCCAACACGCCCCAGCUCUCGGGGUGGCACCACCGGCACCCCACAUCUCUCAGAGGGUGGGUGCCUGAGCUGGGAGGGGGGACAGGCAGGCCACAGAAGCCCGGGUUCCAGCUGGGCCCCAGGAAGGGAAUGGGCCCCGCCCUCCUCCUCCCCAAGCCUCCAGCCGGGUGGGGGGCAUGCCUGGGCAGGGCCCUGAGGAGGGGCCCUGGGGCUUGACCCUGAGCUUAGAGACCGCCUGAAACUGCCCCCCUGGGUGGUGAGGAGGGGAUGGGGGAGCCAGGGGAGGGGCACGGCCUAUUCACACCAUCCAGGCUGCCCUCUGCUUCUGGGCCCGACCAACGGGGGAGGAGAAUCAUUGGGGGGGGGAGUGCCAAAUGGACACACCCUCCCCAGGUCCCUUUACUUGCUCCUGAACCAGUAAUGGAGGUGGCUUUCUGAACCAGCAAGAAAGGGCAGAGACCAGACCGCCCCAGGCAGGGAAGAAAUUACCUCUUGUGCUGAGUGACCCGAAGCUGAUGGAAUCAGUCAGGGGUUCCUGUCCCCUGGGGCAAGGCCACCUGCUCCUGUUCCCAGCGCCCAGCCCACGACUCUGGGGCUAUCAGAGGGAGCAGGGCAUAGGCAGUUCUGGGCUCUGCUGCCAGGGCUUUGCCACCUCCGGACGGCGGGGCUCCCUCCCCCAUCCCCCACCCUCCCUCUCUCAUCAGGCAAGGUUCCCAGGUGACAGGCCAGCGAUGAGAGUGGCAGGGACUCACCUACACAGGGCCCUGCAGCUCGGGCAGGUCAAGGGACCUCACUGAGGACCAACCGUGUGCAGGGACGGCGGGCAAGGGCAAUGCUGGCAGUUCUGUCCUGGGCAGCCCUUCUGAUGAUGAAUUACAGUGAGGGGGCAUGUUGGGUGGGGGGCGGCAGAGGGCUUGAAGGGCACUGUGCCCACUCACACAGCAUCCCUCCCCUGCUCCCGCCCCAGGCAGGCAGAUGGCUUGGGGGUUGGGGGGAGGGGACAGGAGGAGCUGAGCCUAGUCAGAGCCCACUGCUUCCCCAUUCACCUGGGGCCCUCGGUCAGCCCCCCACCCCAGCUUUCUAGGCACCCCCAUUUCCUUUUAUAUAAUCCAGAGGUAGACUAGCAGCUUUGGUGGGGACAGCUGCCUGCAGGUGCAGGGCCUGGCACCUCCUAGGAGCUCUGUGGGUUGUUAAAGCGGGGAUGAAACCCCCCCCCACCGAGGCAGGGGGUCCCAGGACCUCUGACCCCUCCUCUCCUGGAAGCAAGGCCCCUUGCCUGGAGGGCAGCCCCCUGCUUCCCUGUAGCACACAGAGGCAAGUCGGGCCAGGAAGGAGGACGGGGCUCCUGGGAGCUGUGUGUCCCGUUCCUCUGCAGAUCCCAACCUCCCAGAGUCGGGCCCCACCCUCCUGACCUGGUCAGACUGGAGGCUGUCCGAGGGCUGGCUGGUCUCCUGGCAUCUGCCAGCAGGACUUCUCACGGGGCCAGCGCCUGCCCACUGAGAGGCCAGGGCCCUUAGAUCUUGCUGUAGACCUAACAUCAUUUGUUCCUUCGUCCAUGAAUGGACGAAGGGCCAGAGGCCUGGUCAUGGCCUGGACCUUCCACAGGGGAGCAGCGGAGCGUGAAGACCUGCGGCUUCCAGGGAAUCUCAUGGCCCCGCCCCACCCACCUCCCCACCAAGGGCCCCGUGCUCUGCCCAAGGCUGGGAGUGUGUUUGGUGCUCAGGGAAGGAAUAAUGAAUGAAGAGGCUGAGUGAGUAGAAAGUGACCUGGGGUGGGGGGGAGUCGCCAUUGUGGCGCAGAGAAAACGAAUCCGACUAGGAACCAUGAGGUUGCGGGUUUGAUCCCUGCCCUUGCUUAGCAGGUUAAGGAUCAGUCGUUGCCGUGAGCUCUGGUGUGGGUCGCAGACGCGGCUCAGAUUUGUGUUGCCGCGGCUGUGGUGCAGGCCGGCAGCUGUAGCUCCGAUUGGAUCCCUAGCUUGGGAACCUCCAUAUGCUGCGGGUGGGGCCCUGAAAAAACAAAAAGCAAAAAAAAAAAAAAAAAA